UGGGGAAUAUUGGACAAUGGGGGAAACCCUGAUCCAGCGACGCCGCGUGUGUGAAGAAGGCCUGCGGGUUGUAAAGCACUUUUAGUGGGGAUGAAAUGUGCAGGGCUAACACCUCUGCAUUUUGACCUAACCCACAGAAAAAGCACCGGCUAACUCUGUGCCAGCAGCCGCGGUAAUACAGAGGGUGCAAGCGUUAAUCGGAAUUACUGGGCGUAAAGCGUGCGUAGACGGUUACAUAAGUCGGGUGUGGAAGCCCCGGGCUCAACCUGGGAAUUGCAUUCGAGACUGCGUAGCUAGGUUGCGGAAGAGGGAAGCGGAAUUUCCGGUGUAGCGGUGAAAUGCGUAGAUAUCGGAAGGAACACCAGUGGCGGAAGCGGCUUCCUGGUCCAGCACCGACGUUCAGGCACGAAAGCGUGGGGAGCAAACA
rnacentral:rRNA from 1 species